rnacentral:rRNA from 1 species
CAAGAUUUUCAAGUUGUACUUGUCAUGGUUAAAAGACAGUUAGGUAGAAAACUUUGUUAUUAAAUUUCUUGUUUAAGGGUGCAAUCUGAAUUCAAGUAAAAGUUUUAUAAAUAACACUACAUUAAUACUGAGGCUGUGAAAAUCUAGAGGGAAACUAGGAUUAGAUACCCUAUUAUUCUUGAUAGUAAAUUGAUGUUAAUUAAAUCUACCAGAGUACUACGAAACAUAAUAAAAUUUAAAACUCAAAGGGCUUGGCGGUGCUUUAGACCACUUAGGGGAACCUGUCUCAUAAUCGACAAUCCACGUAAUACCUUACCUUAGUUUGCUUUCAGUAUGUAUACCGUCGUCGGCAGGUAACUUUUAAGAAAUAAGAAGUUAGCAAAAUAAGAUCUAAAAUUGACUUAUCUGUUACGUCAGAUCAUGGUGCAGCUUAUACUGAGGAGAGGAUGGGUUACAAUUAAAAUUUAUAAUUACGAAAGACAACAGGAAUUAUCUAUUGUCGGAAGGAGGACUUAAAAGUAAAUGUAAUUAGAUAAAUUCAUUGAAUAAGGCUCUGAAGCGUGCACACAU